AAUUAUAUACAGUAAAGACCAUCAAUCGAGAGCGCGAAUCUCACACUAUGCCUGCCCAGAGUCAGUGGUUUCCACUAUCCACAACCCUGAAGUACAUGGCACCACCAAUUACCAAACAAGGUGCAAGGAUAUGUAGUUUGCACAUGGGGAUGGUGUUAUAUUCCCACUCUCAAUUUCGCUUCGUCUUCUUCAUCGAUACUUCCCAGAGUGCAGAGACGCUGAGCAACAGACAUAGAGAAACUAAAUGCGUCUCCUAGAAAAGCGGAACUCUCUAACGAUUAAUAGCUCUCGAGGCAUAAAGCUUUGACGUCUCCAAUUUAUUCCCCAGGCAGGCAUUGUAGAUGUUGAUCCAGAAAGCUAAUUUUUGCUUGUGGGUCAGUGAAGUUGGGUCCACAUUGCAGAGUUUUUGCAUCAAAACCCUGGAAGAAAAGAAUAAGUAGGAGUGAAAUACGAAAAAUGAUUGCUACUAGAUCAGUAGGAGUGCCUUGGAAAUACCUUAAUUUUCCCAUUGCUUUUAUGCACUCUGAAAUUUGGCUAAUGUUCAGUGAACUUCUUGUGAUUUGGAAGAAAUUCUUGUACGGGCCAACAUCUCUAAUAAGGCCAUCAAAA